ensembl:lncRNA
AUGAAGCUCAGAGAAAGGGACUCAGAAAACACAGUGGAACCGUUCCUUAAAUGUGGGCUGCCUCUUAUAAGGAAGAAAAAAAGAUGGAGUCUUGCUCUGUCGCCCAGCCUGGUGUACAGUGGCGUGAUCUACAGAGGCUCACUGCAACCUCUGCCUCCCAGGUUCAAGCAAUUCUCCUGCCUCAGCCUCCCGAGUACCUGGGAUUAUAGGUAAGUGCCACCACACUCCACUAAUUUUUGUAUUUUUAGUAGAGACAGGGUUUUGCCUUGUGGCCAGGCUGGUCUUGAACCCCUGACCUCAGGUGAUCCACCCUCCUUGGCUUCCCAAAGUGCUAGGAUUACAGGCAUGAGCCACUGCACCUGGCCGAUGCCACUUCUUAGAAUCAGCGAAAGUAGAAGUGGCUUGCCCAGCCUUUCCCCUCUACAGACUGAAUGUUUGUGUCCUUCCAAAAUUUAUAUUGAAACCUCACCCCCAAUGUGAUAGUAUUAGGAUGUGGAAGCUUUGGUAGGUGAUUAGGUCAGUGAGCAGAACCCUCAUGAAUAGAAUUAGUGCCCUUAUAAACAGGAUUCUAGAGCAGGUAUUCAGUGACCUUUGACCCUCACCCUCAUCCCUUCUGAGGCCAACAUCUCUGCAUUUAGUUGGUCCUUGAUCAAGAGUGCAAAGCCACUUUCCUAUUAUACCAUGAUAGUAUAGUGAGGAAGCGUCUAUGGCCUUCGAACACCCACCUACCAUUUCCUUUAUCACCUGUUCUUUCAUGUAAACUUCAACAGGACUUCUGCUCAAUUUGAACAUGUAAUUGGAAAUUGGGAAUAUUUAGGAUUUUUUCCAUAACAUACAGGGAAUAUGUUUGAUCAUUUUUCCUUCUCUAAACUGCUAGUGACUUUUGCCAUAAGCAUUGUGCUUCUCCAUUGUGACGUAACUGAGUUCUUCGAUGAUGUUUCUUUCACCUGCUAGGUUAGCGUUGCCAUUAUUUCCUGGAACAUCUGAUCCUCAGCUUACAUUUCAGACAUGUUUCCGCUGAAACUCCUGGUGCCUCAGACCCCUAGCUCAGAUCUCCAGUUCCCUUAGCUCAUUUGCUUUUUAGCACAUUUUAAACUUCAGAGACUUCGAACUUUCCCUUCCUUUUGAAGUGGCCAUAACCUGUUAUAUGUAACAACAUCGAUGCUGACAUGAAUAAAGAAUUAGCCCUGAGGCGGGUAAAAGUCCUGCAGUCCAGACUCCACACUGAUAAGACUACCCUGCAGUUAAACGGGGAUAACAAACAGCGAUCGUCUAUCCAGUCCUCUAGACAGCAGAAUGCCCGCUGCUUUAUUGACUGGCAGAAAACAGUUCCCAUUUCAUGAAACAAUAAAAAUUAAAUUGAGUGUAAACUCUCCCAAGGUCACUGCCUCUAACCUUAUAACAUCAGAAAUGAAGGCUGUAAACCCCAUCGUGAACCUUGUGAUCUGGAAGAAGCCAGAGAGUUGAUUCCUGGGCUCCAUGAGCAGCACCCCAUGGGCACUUGGCUGGGCAUGGCCUCUUACAUUUCUUGUCAGAUAAUGACAGGAACGCUCUUCCUCCCCACUUCUGGCCCAUGCCUUCCUGACA